CAUCUCUGGUUUUCCUUUAAAACGCAUAAAUCUUUCGCCUUUUACUAAAUAUUUCCGUGGAGGGGAACACUCAGUGUCAUCAUGAGUCUUACUCAAUUUUUUGAUAGCUCUGCUUCGGCAGGGUU